rnacentral:rRNA from 4 species
UGCUGAAAGCAUCUAAGCACGAAACUUGCCCCGAGAUGAGUUCUCCCUGAGACUUAGAGUCUCCUGAAGGAACGUUGAAGACGACGACGUUGAUAGGCCGGGUGUGUAAGCGCAGCGAUGCGUUGAGCUAACCGGUACUAAUGAACCGUGAGGCUUAACCUUACAACGCCGAAG